AUUGAACGCUGGCGGCAUGCUUUACACAUGCAAGUCGAACGGCAGCGCGGGCUUCGGCCUGGCGGCGAGCGGCGAACGGGCGAGUAAUGCAUCGGAACGUGGCAAGUAGUGGGGGAUAGGCCGGCGAAGGCCGGAUUAAUACCGCAUACGACCUGAGGGUGAAAGCGGGGGACCGAAAGGCCUCGCGCCAUUGGAGCGGCCGAUGUCGGAUUAGCUAGUUGGUGGGGUAAAGGCUUACCAAGGCGACGAUCCGUAGCUGGUCUGAGAGGACGACCAGCCACACUGGGACUGAGACACGGCCCAGACUCCUACGGGAGGCAGCAGUGGGGAAUUUUGGACAAUGGGGGCAACCCUGAUCCAGCCAUGCCGCGUGCGGGAAGAAGGCCUUCGGGUUGUAAACCGCUUUUGUUCGGGAAGAAAUCCUCUGGGCUAAUACCCCGCGGUGAUGACGGUACCGGAAGAAUAAGCACCGGCUAACUACGUG
rnacentral:rRNA from 1 species